ACAACAAACGGUAUCUAUAGUAACUCGCGCCUGGGUGCUGCCAGAUGGGUCUCUUAAGAAAUGUCACCUUUAGUUUCAGGUGUGUUUUGUGGUGAAUGAGAGCACGAAAUAUCUCUGUAAAAAAUCUUCAAAUAACGUCUAGGAUGAAAUUGUACUCAUUCUAAUACUCAUCGCGUGCCACAGUCAGACAGUCGUUGGCGUCAAUCUGUCAUCCAUUUCACGCUUUCAGUCAGCAUCGCGUGCCAACGCGCUUUAAAACACUUUCGUGAGGAACGGGUUAUUUAUUCGAGCAGAAGUGAAGCUGGAAGAGCAGACUGAAGGGAGAUCUCUUUUUAUGAUGGUUUUGUGGAGACACAGGCUUCUGUGCGACUCUCUGGUUAUGAGAAGGAAGAGGAUAAUGAUGAUGGUGACGAUGAAGCUCAGGACUGCAUCACAGGUUUAAGCCAACGGCGAGACUGCAUCAGAAACAACCAACACAGUGUAUUUUCCCACACUAUGGAAGUCAAUGGCUACCGUCCACUGUUUGGUUACCAACAUUCUUCAGAAUAUCUUCUUUUAUGUUCAACAGAAGAAAGAAAUUCAUGCAAGUUUGCAAUAACUUGAGGGUUGGGUUUGUUCCUCUGUCAGAGUUGCCGGUUAGAUGACUGUUAGCCUCAUCGUGCUUCACAAGUGUUGAGGAAUAUGGCUUUUAAAGACAUUAUAAGAGUUUUAUUUCAUGUGAGUGUUUAUGUGAUCAAUGUAUAAUACAUAUCAAUACAUUUCAGUUCGAUUAGCUUUAUUGUCACAUCCUGGAAACAAGUCAUUGCAAUACAAUAGAUAUUCAAGAAUCUGUACAUACACACUAAUACAUUACAGGCACAUGCUCAACUCCACAUAACUGAAGAAAACAUUCUGAAAUAAUAAAUCAUAGAUCAACGAAGGCAUAAUUUUAAGUUCACUCAAGACAUUUAUUUAGCAGAUGAAUUUAACUCUUAAAGCACAUGCAAACAUUUGCCUUUGAGGUUUUUCAUCUUUGUCAGUAUGAGACAUCUUACAGGUCACCAAAAAUACACAAAUAAGCAAAAUUACCCGCAGCAUGCUCACAUUUGACUGGUGGUGGGUGUUCAUUUCACACCAUGCUGUAGAAAGAUGCCAUGUUUUCAGAUCAGCACUUUUCCUCAUGCUGUGUUAUGCUAUGUUUGUUCAGUUUAUGCUUUUUCUUUUCCAUUUUUUUUCUAUUUUUAUCUUGUAUUUGCCAGCAGAUUUUUUCCUCACAUACGGGCCGCUGACUGAAAGCAGACGUGCACACAUGGCACUGUUUUCUCAGAGUACUGGGUGCCAUUUAGAUAACUGUGCUCAAAAUAAAGAUAUUGAUCAGUAGGGCAGCUUUUUGGGUAAUAUGUGACAGGAUGUGACAGAUGUUUGGUAGUGGCAGCACUGCCAAACUAGCUAAAGCCCAUUUCCUGUGAGUUAUUUGCAGAAAUGAGUCCUGUUUUUUUAUUUGACACUGUGCCUGGAGUGUUGUUAGCUUCAUGCCAGAAAUCACAGUUUACAGCAGUUAUAGAAUCUCCACAGCUGUGAAAUAAUAAAAACAAUAUGUAUAUAGACGUAUUUUUACAUUUAACAAAACUAGUUUAUUAAAGUUCUUAAACAAUUGAAUUAAACAAAGAUUAUUGGAGUACA